AUGGCCAAGAUCCGGGAGAGGAAGACGACGGGUGUCAACCAAGUCAAAUGCAUCAAAGACGAAGCAGUUCAACUCCCGGUGAAGGACGAGGAUAUCAAGUAUAGACGACAGGAGUACUUUGACAAACUGUUCAAUGGAGAGAACGAGAGCUCUAUCGUUGAGCUGGACGACUCCUUUGAUGAUACCAGAAGGCGUUUUGUGCAACGAAUCCAGGAGUCUGAGGUUAGAAAGGUUUUAAAAAGGAUGAAAGGAGGCAAGGCGAUGGGCCUUGAUUGUAUCCCCAUUGAGGUGUGGAGAGGCAUCAGAGGCAUAAUGAUAGUAUGA
rnacentral:rRNA from 1 species